rnacentral:rRNA from 1 species
UACAGAGACUGCAAGCGUUAUUCGGAUUCACUGGGCGUAAAGGGUGCGCAGGCGGCCAAGUGUGUGAGGCGUGAAAGCCCGAUGCUUAACAUCGGGAUUGCACCUCAAACUACAUGGCUAGAGCAUUGGAGAGGGUAGCGGAAUUCACGGUGUAGCAGUGAAAUGCGUAGAUAUCGUGAGGAACACCAGAGGCGAAGGCGGCUACCUGGACAAUUGCUGACGCUCAGGCACGAAAGCGUGGGGAGCAAAAGGG